CUCUCCGAGGCCGCGUCGCCGGCGCCGCGACCCCGCCCUCCCGCGCCUGUCCUUCCCUGCGCUCCCAGCCAGUGCUGGGCGCCAGACGCGGCCCCGCCGUCCGGCUGCUGGCCCGUGUUCCCGGCGGUCCCAGCCUCCGCGGGCCGGGACCGCGGCCCCCGCGGCAGGACGGGGAGGCGGGCCAUGGCGUCCUGCGUGGGGAGCCGGACCCUGAGCAAGGAUGAUGUGAACUACAAGAUGCAUUUCCGGAUGAUCAACGAGCAGCAAGUGGAAGACAUCACCAUCGACUUCUUCUACCGGCCGCACACCAUCACCCUGCUCAGCUUCACCAUCGUCAGCCUCAUGUACUUCGCCUUCACCAGGGAUGACUCUGUUCCAGAGGACAACAUCUGGAGGGGCAUCCUCUCUGUUGUUUUCUUCUUUCUUAUCAUCAGCGUGUUGGCUUUCCCCAAUGGUCCAUUUACUCGGCCCCACCCAGCUUUGUGGCGAAUGGUUUUUGGGCUCAGCGUACUCUACUUCCUAUUCCUGGUGUUCCUCCUCUUCCUGAAUUUUGAGCAGGUGAAGUCCCUCAUGUACUGGCUGGACCCGAACCUUCGCUACGCCACCAGGGAAGCCGAUAUCAUGGAGUACGCCGUGAAUUGCCAUGUCAUCACCUGGGAGCGCAUCGUCAGCCACUUCGACAUCUUUGCGUUUGGGCACUUCUGGGGCUGGGCCAUGAAGGCCCUGUUGAUCCGCAGCUACGGUCUGUGCUGGACAAUCAGCAUCACCUGGGAGCUGACAGAGCUUUUCUUCAUGCAUCUCCUGCCCAACUUCGCGGAGUGCUGGUGGGAUCAGGUCAUCCUGGACAUCCUGCUGUGUAAUGGCGGUGGCAUCUGGCUGGGCAUGGUGGUCUGCCGGUUCCUGGAGAUGCGCACAUACCACUGGGCAAGCUUCAAGGACAUUCACACCACCACUGGCAAGAUCAAACGAGCCGUGCUCCAGUUCACGCCUGCCAGCUGGACCUACGUGAGAUGGUUUGACCCCAAGUCUUCCUUCCAGAGAGUGGCCGGAAUCUACCUGUUCAUGAUCAUCUGGCAGCUGACCGAGUUGAAUACCUUCUUCCUGAAACAUAUCUUUGUGUUCCAAGCCAGCCAUCCGUUAAGCUGGUGUAGGAUUCUCUUUAUUGGCUGCAUCACGGCUCCCACAGUGAGGCAGUACUACGCUUACCUCACGGACACACAGUGCAAACGCGUGGGAACACAGUGCUGGGUGUUUGGGGUCAUUGGUUUCCUGGAAGCUAUCGUUUGCAUAAAAUUCGGACAAGAUCUCUUCUCGAAAACCCAAAUACUCUACGUUGUACUUUGGCUUCUUUGUGUGGCCUUCACCACCUUCCUGUGUCUUUACGGCAUGGUCUGGUAUGCGGAGCACUAUGGCCACCGGGAGAAGACCUAUUCAGAGUGUGAGGACAGCACUUACAGCCCUGACAUCUCCUGGCAUCACGGGAAAGGCGCAAAAGGUUCUGAAGACAGCCCACCCAAGCAUUCGGGCAACAACGAAAGCCAUUCUUCCAGAAGACGGAAUCGACAUUCCAAGUCCAAAGUCACCAAUGGAGUGGGAAAGAAAUGAAAGGCCCUCCCCCCUCUGCCCCCUGGCCAAUCAAAGAUGUCCCAGAGAGUGCCUAGAACCACGAAGAAAGGGAAGCAGAAAGUCGUUUAGACCUCCCCGUGAGGAGCAUCCUCAGUUCCCCCCACGCUUUGAAGACUUCCCACCACGUGGCAGGUGCACUGCCCUCUGAGGAAGGGUCGGCCGCCUGCCUUGGAACCUGGGGCUCCACGUCUGAACCUGUUUUUGUCCCGUUGCAAAUGUCCCUUGUCCAAACCGAUCCAGCCACACUCCCAAAGCGAGCCUGUGACGGGGCGGUGAACACUGUGGCUACUGUGCCCCCUCCCCCAGGUGCCUUUGACAUUGGCUUGGUUUUACCCGCCCUGGUGUGUUAGAGCUGACAUUGUUGUCUUUAGUCCCAUGUGAGGUGCUGGUGAGUGUUACCUUCCGUGUGUGCCAUGCUGUAAAACAUCCUCCCCGGUAGUUCACCGCGAUGGAUCUGUUUUCAAUAAAACCCACGUGAAAGCCCA